rnacentral:rRNA from 1 species
CUUGCUCCCAUUUCUCAGCGGCGGACGGGUGAGUAACACGUGGGCAACCUGCCCUGCAGACUGGGAUAACUCCGGGAAACCGGAGCUAAUACCGGGUAAUACAUAGCAUCGCAUGAUGCAACGUUGAAAGUUGGCCUUUGGCUAACACUGUAGGAUGGGCCCGCGGCGCAUUAGCUAGUUGGUAAGGUAACGGCUUACCAAGGCCACGAUGCGUAGCCGACCUGAGAGGGUGAUCGGCCACACUGGGACUGAGACACGGCCCAGACUCCUACGGGAGGCAGCAGUAGGGAAUCUUCCGCAAUGGACGAAAGUCUGACGGAGCAACGCCGCGUGAGUGACGAAGGCCUUCGGGUCGUAAAGCUCUGUUGUUAGGGAAGAACAAGUACCGUUCGAAUAGGGCGGUACCUUGACGGUACCUAACCAGAAAGCCACGGCUAACUACGUGCCAGCAGCCGCGGUAAUACGUAGGUGGCAAGCGUUGUCCGGAAUUAUUGGGCGUAAAGCGCGCGCAGGCGGUCUCUUAAGUCUGAUGUGAAAGCCCACGGCUCAACCGUGGAGGGCCAUUGGAAACUGGGGGACUUGAGUGCAGAAGAGGAGAGUGGAAUUCCACGUGUAGCGGUGAAAUGCGUAGAUAUGUGGAGGAACACCAGUGGCGAAGGCGGCUCUCUGGUCUGUAACUGACGCUGAGGCGCGAAAGCGUGGGGGAGCGAACAGGAUUAGAUACCCUGGUAGUCCACGCCGUAAACGAUGAGUGCUAGGUGUUGGGGGGCUUCCACCCCUCAGUGCUGAAAUUUAACACAUUAAGGCACUCCGCCCU